rnacentral:rRNA from 1 species
UAAAUUGAAGAGUUUGAUCAUGGCUCAGAUUGAACGCUGGCGGCAGGCCUAACACAUGCAAGUCGAGCGGUAGCACAGAGAGCUUGCUCUCGGGUGACGAGCGGCGGACGGGUGAGUAAUGUCUGGGAAACUGCCUGAUGGAGGGGGAUAACUACUGGAAACGGUAGCUAAUACCGCAUAACGUCGCAAGACCAAAGAGGGGGACCUUCGGGCCUCUUGCCAUCAGAUGUGCCCAGAUGGGAUUAGCUAGUAGGUGGGGUAAUGGCUCACCUAGGCGACGAUCCCUAGCUGGUCUGAGAGGAUGACCAGCCACACUGGAACUGAGACACGGUCCAGACUCCUACGGGAGGCAGCAGUGGGGAAUAUUGCACAAUGGGCGCAAGCCUGAUGCAGCCAUGCCGCGUGUAUGAAGAAGGCCUUCGGGUUGUAAAGUACUUUCAGCGAGGAGGAAGGCGUUAAGGUUAAUAACCUUAGCGAUUGACGUUACUCGCAGAAGAAGCACCGGCUAACUCCGUGCCAGCAGCCGCGGUAAUACGGAGGGUGCAAGCGUUAAUCGGAAUUACUGGGCGUAAAGCGCACGCAGGCGGUCUGUCAAGUCGGAUGUGAAAUCCCCGGGCUCAACCUGGGAACUGCAUUCGAAACUGGCAGGCUAGAGUCUUGUAGAGGGGGGUAGAAUUCCAGGUGUAGCGGUGAAAUGCGUAGAGAUCUGGAGGAAUACCGGUGGCGAAGGCGGCCCCCUGGACAAAGACUGACGCUCAGGUGCGAAAGCGUGGGGAGCAAACAGGAUUAGAUACCCUGGUAGUCCACGCCGUAAACGAUGUCGACUUGGAGGUUGUUCCCUUGAGGAGUGGCUUCCGGAGCUAACGCGUUAAGUCGACCGCCUGGGGAGUACGGCCGCAAGGUUAAAACUCAAAUGAAUUGACGGGGGCCCGCACAAGCGGUGGAGCAUGUGGUUUAAUUCGAUGCAACGCGAAGAACCUUACCUACUCUUGACAUCCACGGAAUUUAGCAGAGAUGCUUUAGUGCCUUCGGGAACCGUGAGACAGGUGCUGCAUGGCUGUCGUCAGCUCGUGUUGUGAAAUGUUGGGUUAAGUCCCGCAACGAGCGCAACCCUUAUCCUUUGUUGCCAGCGGUUCGGCCGGGAACUCAAAGGAGACUGCCAGUGAUAAACUGGAGGAAGGUGGGGAUGACGUCAAGUCAUCAUGGCCCUUACGAGUAGGGCUACACACGUGCUACAAUGGCGUAUACAAAGAGAAGCGACCUCGCGAGAGCAAGCGGACCUCAUAAAGUACGUCGUAGUCCGGAUUGGAGUCUGCAACUCGACUCCAUGAAGUCGGAAUCGCUAGUAAUCGUAGAUCAGAAUGCUACGGUGAAUACGUUCCCGGGCCUUGUACACACCGCCCGUCACACCAUGGGAGUGGGUUGCAAAAGAAGUAGGUAGCUUAACCUUCGGGAGGGCGCUUACCACUUUGUGAUUCAUGACUGGGGUGAAGUCGUAACAAGGUAACCGUAGGGGAACCUGC